rnacentral:rRNA from 1 species
CGAGCGGCGGACGGGUGAGUAAUGCUUGGGAAUCUGCCUAGUCGAGGGGGACAACAGUUGGAAACGACUGCUAAUACCGCAUACGACCUACGGGUGAAAGGGGGCCUCUUCUUGAAAGCUCUCGCGAUUAGAUGAGCCCAAGUGGGAUUAGCUUGUUGGUGAGGUAAAGGCUCACCAAGGCGACGAUCCCUAGCUGGUCUGAGAGGAUGAUCAGCCACACUGGAACUGAGACACGGUCCAGACUCCUACGGGAGGCAGCAGUGGGGAAUAUUGCACAAUGGACGAAAGUCUGAUGCAGCAACGCCGCGUGGAGGAUGACACAUUUCGGUGCGUAAACUCCUUUUAUAUAGGAAGAUAAUGACGGUACUAUAUGAAUAAGCACCGGCUAACUACGUGCCAGCAGCCGCGGUAAUACGUAUGUCGCAAGCGUUAUCCGGAAUUAUUGGGCGUAAAGCGAGUCUAGGCGGCUUGUUAAGUCAGAUGUGAAAAUGCGGGGCUCAACUCCGUAUUGCGUUUGAAACUGGCAGGCUAGAGUACUGGAGAGGUGGGCGGAACUACAAGUGUAGAGGUGAAAUUCGUAGAUAUUUGUAGGAAUGCCGAUAGUGAAGACAGCUCACUGGACAGAUACUGACGCUAAAGCUCGAAAGCGUGGGGAGCGAACAGGAUUAGAUACCCUGGUAGUCCACGCCGUAAACGAUGUCAACUAGCCGUUUGUGUCCUUGAGACGUGAGUGGCGCAGCUAACGCACUAAGUUGACCGCCUGGGGAGUACGGCCGCAAGGUUAAAACUCAAAUGAAUUGACGGGGGCCCGCACAAGCGGUGGAGCAUGUGGUUUAAUUCGAAGCAACGCGAAGAACCUUACCUACUCUUGACAUCCACAGAAUUCGGUAGAGAUACCUUAGUGCCUUCGGGAACUGUGAGACAGGUGCUGCAUGGCUGUCGUCAGCUCGUGUUGUGAAAUGUUGGGUUAAGUCCCGCAACGAGCGCAACCCUUAUCCUUAUUUGCCAGCACGUAAUGGUGGGAACUCUAAGGAGACUGCCGGUGAUAAACCGGAGGAAGGUGGGGACGACGUCAAGUCAUCAUGGCCCUUACGUCCAGGGCUACACACGUGCUACAAUGGGGCAUACAAAGAGCAGCGAUACCGCGAGGUGGAGCAAAUCUCAAAAAUGCCUCCCAGUUCGGAUAGUAGUCUGCAACUCGACUACUUGAAGUUGGAAUCGCUAGUAAUCGCGGAUCAGCACGCCGCGGUGAAUACGUUCCCGGGCCUUGUACACACCGCCCGUCACACCAUGGGAGUGGGCUGCACCAGAAGUCAUUAGCUUAACCUUCGGGAGGGCGAUGACCACGGUGUGGUUCAUGACUGGGGUGAAGUCGUAACAAGGUAACCCUAGGGGAACCUGGGGUUG